CUGAUCUGCAUGCAUGGAUGGAUCCAUCGAUUUGCUCAAGUUGAGUUUCACUUGCAGGUGCACGGGUUGCAGGUGCAGUUGUCCCCGCACUUGCAGCCUCCGUUCUCGGCUCCGGCGGCGGCGGCCUCGAAGCCUGACUUGGUCGCCGGCGGCGCAACGCCCAUGACGAGUGUCUGGGAAGAAGUCGCCUCCUCGGCCAUCAUCUCUGGGUACAUCUUGCACCUAGACAUGAACCGAUUAAUCCACCGUCAGAAUACAUCACCCAUCAAUCAACCAACCAAUUAAUCACAAGACUGUUCAUAUGCAUGUUUCUCUAGAAAAAUCCAUUCCCCAACAUGAAGAAGAACAAGAAGAAGAAACAAGUAAGAAAGGGGAAACUAGAACAAUCUCUGUUUUUCGCCCGGCCAUCAUCUCAUCAAAUCCAGAGAUCCUGACCCAAAGGUGAUCAACAACAAGAUGGAUCCACGAGGAAUUCGAGGGAAAAAGAUGCAAAAUUUAUACUCCUAGAUAAAGAUUAAAGAUGGAUCGAACUAAGUUACCCUCCGCAGCCGUUGCCGCACUUGCAGCCGGACCCGCACCCGCAGUUGCCGCCGCAGCACGACAUGAUUGAACGAUGUAGAAGAAGAAGAACGCACAAAAGGGAUCCGAUGAAGAAGAGGCUUUGAUCUGAUCUGCUCUGCCCUCCCUCCCAGGGGUGGUAUUUAUAGAGCAAGGAGAGCGGGGAUCCGCCGUCCACGCGGCAGGCCGAGCCCGUGGAUCGCUGGCGACGUGGACCGGACGACGCCCGUCCAUUUGUCCGGGGUGACCUGCGAGAUUACCCUUCUGCCCUUCCCCCAGUUAUUGAGCGAGACCUGCUCCCUGCUCACCGUCCAACGCACUAGUACAGCAAAGCAGUCAUCAAAAUUUUACUGGCAACACGUACACGUACACGUACGUGUAAUUGUUCCGAUCCAUAAAUAUCUUUGCUGGUACUCCUACUCGAAUGCUGCAUAUAUAAGCAAGAACAUUGUCGAUCAGCAUUUGACUCUCUCUCUUUUUUCUUAAUUGGCUCUGCAAAUUCCCAAGAGGCCAAGAAUAGCAGCACCCAUGAUUGGUGCCACGUGCAAGCAUCAGCUCAUGUUGUCCUAGUUCUUUUAGCCAGUAGUACUUGAAUAUUACAGGCCGAAUAUUAGAAAGAACAUCGAUCGAGAUCCCCAUUUGAUUUCCCGGUCUCAUGAGUUGUAGCAAUCUCACUCCACAGUGCCUGCCUGCCUGCCAGCCGUCCAUUCUGCGUCUCGUUUUAUUAUUCUUCUUUGGAUGAGGUUGACGCCAGAAGUGCUUCCUGCUAGUGUUCUUGUGGAUAAGGAUUCAUGUCAUGAUCGUCCUAGAUACUGCUAUUAUUAUUUUACUAUCUGUUAAAGAAACUUGUAGGUGAAAGAAAUAUGGAACGAUAAAGUUGCUGCAGGGGUUUCCGCUACAUUUUUCGGUCAAAAAUGGAACGCAUUUUAUAUCGAAUUUAAUUAGCUUAAUUUUCACGUUUAUCUUGUCAAAACCGGCAAAAUCGUGAUCAAACUGGAGAGGCCGAGAGGAGGCCCUUGAAUCCCUUUACGAUUUUUGCUGUAUCCUGCGAUCUUGCAAAAGAACUGUCAAGCUGUUGUAAUUUUUUCAUGUCACGGGCUGUUGAGAGGUUGGCCCAAGUCAGAGCAAUGACAAAGCUAUAGCUCACAAUUAUCAACCUGCUGCUCCUAAUGUUCCUAAACAGUUGUAAGGGCCACAGCCAGCCUGAAGAUAAGUGCCACUCAAUCAUCCCAGCCAAGCCAAAGCUCACAAAAUAUUGUUAAGACUUAUCCUCCCAUCCAGUUCCUGCUGUAUCAAGCAAGCAGAAAAAAGUACCAAGAGGGAAGCCCAGCCUCAAGCUCCCAGCAAAGCUCCAAGCCUUCAAUCAACAUUGUUAUGGGAAACCAGGACAAAAAUGAAGCUCCCAGCCAAGCUUGCCUUCACAAUGUGUUUUUAGCCUUGACAAAUGCAAGUCUGCAAGGAGUGAAAGGACAGAAACAAGUUGGAUUUUUAUACUUCUUUACACAUUUGCAGUGAAAGUUAUGUGAACUUGCCUUUUCAAAUGUCAGCCAUUUGAGCCUGUCAUAACAGUACAUGGAAUGCAUCCCAUACAAGUGAAAUUGAUACAAUGGCAUAUCAUACACUGGUUUCUCUUUUGAGGAGAAAACAGGACUGAUUGCAUUAACACUCUGGACUAGAUAAAUCACUAUCCAAAAGAUGAGAUACAACUUUGGGUAAUUAUCAAGCCAAACCAAGUGGCUAGCAGCUCCCGGAGACGCCCCGAAGCUAGCUAUCUUGUGCGCAGCAGAGUUACAAACACGCCAGACAGUACAACACAUUGAGAUCAGAGAAUCACCAGUAAUGUUGAGUAAGCUUAAAGUUCUGGAAGCUUCCAGAAUUGCAUGGCUGACAAGCAGCUGCUGCCCCAACAUUUUUUAACCUGAGUAUAAAUUCAGAGAUAGAGAGUGCUUUUCCAAAAUUCAUUCAUCUUACAACUCAACAUCCAAAACUUCUUUAGCAACUGCUCUAAACGAAUGAAUUUCCUAUUUAAGACCUAAUUAACAGCAACAUCCAGAGAUCACUGCUUCGUCUUCCCAGAAAGAACCAAACUAAUGUAUACUUGAGAAUGAAUCACCCCCUUAACAUUUGUGCAGUGCAGAGAGCAGCUAAACUAACAAAAAGGGGCAAAAAAUUAACAUGACUAGUAUCUAGCUUAGCUAUGGAUAGGCUCAAAACUUUGCAAGCUGGAGAGUGAGCUCCGUCAGAAGCUUGUCCAACACAGAGUCUGCCAGCUUGUUGCCUACAUGAUCAACAUCUCUCUGAAGGUUUAUCCAGCGGUCAGCCUUGGCCAGGUCAUUAAACACGAUGGCGCUGAUCUCGGUGCCACCGGGCCUGUCCAGGUGGCAGCUCAUUCUGGACUGCAGCUCCCUGAGUGCUUGGUCUCCGACAGGCUUCGGCCGUUCAAAAGAGGAGAAGCGGGAGGCCUUGGAUUUGCUAGCAGAAUACGACUUGUAGAUGUCGAGCAACGCUUCGUUCGUCAUGUCGAACAGAAGCAGCUCGUCGGCACACAUGUCGGUGAAGUCGAGCGGCACGGCGGCAGCCUCGUAGUGCUGGCAAUCCUCUUCUUGGAGAGCUACAGUGUUCUGUGAGCACCAUCCAUCGAACAGUGUCUCAUUGGUGAAGCUAGACUUGUUGAAUAUGUCGUUCACAUAGUUCAGCUCAGCUUCAUUCUUUGGGUCUACUUGGAGACCAUUCAGAUCGUCAGAGUUGUGCUCUUGUAAGAUUUCCUGAGUCAAUGAAGUAGCUGAUGGUUUCUCACAAGUGCUAGCAAUGACAACAUUACUGUCAACUGAAUCACCGGUGUCAUUUCCUGGCAUGAGCGAUGAAUCUGCGAAACAAAUAAACAAGGAAAAUGACAUUGGGAACAUUAGCAAGGAGUUUAGAAUAAAAGGUUAUACAGAUGCUGAAGUAAAUUUUAAUUGUUAAUGACAUCGAUUAUUCAAUAAUAUAAGUUGACUAGAACACUGUUAUUUCAUAGGGUAAAUCUUUGCAACUCUGCCUGUUUAAGCCAAUGUGACCAUGAGGUGCUAACCCAGGUCUCCAAAUUAAGAUUCUCAAGUAAACAUGUUUUUUUUUCUAAUUAUAGAAGGCUACUGUGGGUUCUACAUACUAAAUUAAAAUCUCACCAUCCAACAUUGCAUGUUUCUCUGAAUUAGUAGCAGAAUCAUAUGAGAAGGCCACAUCCAGAACAGAAGUUGGACUUUCAGUUUCUUGUUCGCAGCUUAAAUUUAACUCAGCUUCAGUUUCUUGAAUGGGAUCAGGAACACAGCAAGUACCUUCUACUGAUUUGGAAACAUAAGAAGUUAUUUCAUCCUCUUCUGCAAGGUUGAUCUCUUCUGAAGGCAGAGCAGUACAUGACUGAAACUUGGUGUCAUCAGAAGUUCUUGCAUGUUCUUCUUCAGUGUUGAUGUCUUCUGAAGGCAGAGCAGUACUAGAAUCAGCUUCUGUUGAUGAGUGAGUCUGAUCAUCAUCAAAAGUUAUUGAAGGUCCUUCUGAGAUGUCAUCUUCCUCUAAUGGUGGAGGAUCAGUAUACAAAUAUUCUUUGGUUGAUGAAGGAGCCUGAUCAUCAUCACAAGUCAUUGCAGGUUCUUCUGGGAUGUGAACUUGCUCUAAUGGUAAUGGUGGAGGGUCAGUAUACAAAUCUUCUUUGGUUGAUGAGGGAGCCUGAUCAUCAUCACAAGUCAUUGAAGGUUCUUCUGGGAUGUCAGCUUGCUCUAAUGGUGGAGGGUCAGUAUACAAAACUUCUUUGGUUGAUGAGGGAGCCUGAUCAUCGUCACAAGUUGCGGCAUGUUCUUCUGAAGGCAAAGGGGCAAUACAUAAAUCGGCUUCAGUUGAUACCUCAACAUGGAAACUUUUGUCAUGCAAGUACUCUUCAAGUAACACAGGAUUCUUAGAGCCAUCAGAGAACUGAUUACAAGAACUCUCAUCCACAGCAAAAUUCACAUCUCCAUCGCCAACAGUUUUGUCUGCAACAUGUGAUUCUGAGGCGUCUACUUUCAUCACAAGAUGUUCAGCAAGGGUAGUCAAACCUUUUGAUCUGAACUGAGAAGAAGAAGUUCUAUGGAAUGCAUUUGCACCAGGGCCAUCCAAGGAAUGAUCCCUAGUAGACUUUGAGCUUGUCAACACCCUUUUGGCUUCACUGCUUGAAAUGGAAUCAAGUAAGAGGGAGUAACUCUCCAGUGAUUCAGACAGGGAACGUGAACGCUGGAAACCUUGAUUUACAUGUCUCUUUGAAGCCCUACCAAUGUAAGGUUUUAGACCAUCCCUGUCAUAUGUGACGGAGGCUGACCGGGGAAGUUCUUCUCCAAUUUUAUUUCCAGACACCUUGUGCCCAUAAGGGACCUUAUGAAGAAUCCCAUCCAUUGAAAUGCUACGGUGGCUCUUCUGUUUCGCAUGUUCAUCGCCUCUAUUCAAGAGCAGUGAAGAACUCUUAUCAGUAUCUGAACCUUCCAGGGUGUUAGACAGAGCCUGUUGCAGCAACAUUUUAGCCCCAUGUGAAGAACCAUUACCAUUGGUAGCUGCCUCACCAUCAAGAACAUAUUCAUUUCUUUCCAAGUAAUGCAUCGAAAGGGUGCGCAGUAGCUUUGGUGCAACUGGAAGCAUCUUUUCUUUCUCACCUUCCUUUCCGUACAAUUUUUUUGCAAUCAGUGACUUCAAACUUGAUUUACCAGAAUUCUUUUUUGAACCCUUUUGUUUACCUUUAACCUGAAAUAGGAGAAAUUAAUGGAAUACUAUAAGUCCACAUCUCGAAAUAAAAAAUAGUAUUCUGUUUAACUAGUUUUGAAGAACCAAAGUACUUAUGGAAACUGCUCAUAUGUAAUGCCGUAGCAGCAAGCAUACCAUCAUAUAUAUUUAUAUAUACUGCUUUGCUUGUAAAUAGUUUAUGGACUAGUCUAAAAAGUUUCAGAAAUAUCACUCCCCAUUUUUACAAAACAAAAGACUGGUAAUGCAUAGAAUUUAAGAUCUUGUCUAUUAACUGCAAAUAGAGGAUGAAAAUGGACUAUUGAAUACAAGUAGAAAAAAAGAGAAAAUGGAUAGGGGGAAGGAUACAAGUACUAUUCAGGAAUCAAGAGAAUGUCAUAAGUUAUCAAUCAAGGAGGGUAAUUGGUAUUUACUUCAGCAUUUUUGCUGUCAUCCAUGACACCGCUGUCUUCGUCUUUCAGUGUAACAUAGGAUCGACGUUUACUUCCUGCAAUUAAUAUCCCAGUCAAUAAAAAAUACAAAUAUAUUUAGAAACAUAAUUUGUCAUACUGGCUGAUACUUCAAAGCAAGCUGUUCUAGACUUCUAGUAGGGUUCUACAUAACGAUGAAUUAAUUCUUUAAUACACUAAGAGUCAGACAGUAAGUUCACCACUCAUGAGUCGUAUCAUUAGUUGUAUAACUUUCAAAGAAAAAAUCAGAAAAACAUUUCAAUACAUGAAUGGCACAUAUUAGCUGUUCAAAUAUACUCCAGUUCAUUCACAAUUUUUCGCUGAAUCAAAGCAAAGUACUCGAGCCUGCUCGGAAAGAAUUAAAGAACAAAGACAACUUACCACCAGGGCUUUUAUCCUGACCAUGUUUCUUUUCAGAGAGCAUCUUCACAGAUCGUAGGCGCCGGCUCAAGCCAAAGAACUGAAAAAUGCUCCAUCGGCGGCCCGGGAUUUCCUUUCCAUAAAACGCAGAGUCCUGAUGGUGCAGCAGCUGGGCCAUUUGUUCUUGGCCCAGCAACUAACAAGAGGGAUGAUUCCUUAUGAGCAGCACCCUUGCAGAUUAAGGAACAAUGCCUCAGCUUUGCUUAGCUCUGUGAGCUGUCAUGAACAAACUAGACAGUGAUUAACAACCUAGCAAAGAAGAUACAGAAUGACUUUCCAACUCCAAAUAGAUAAUUGCCACAAGACCAAACUGGAAAAGCGUAUGAGCCAAAAAAAACUUGAAAAAUAUAAGAUGGUCACCGACAGUGUAUACACAAAAAUCAGCAGGCCAAAUGAAGAUACUAAUCAUGAGGAAACACGUAUAAAAUAAUAUAUUACAACAUAGUGACCAAGCUUAUAAAAAGUAACCCGAGGUUUGUGACUUUUCAGAUUAAAAAAGGUGUAUGAACAAUGGUGACAUAGACUGGUAGACACCUCCUUUCUGAAAACAUGCACACACACAGGCACCAACCGCAACUGAAUCAUUUCUUAUUCUUAAGACAACCAAACUGCAAUUAAACGAUAUCUAUAUAUAUCCUUGUUAGUUAGCGACUAAUUGUUUCAACUACUAAUCAAUAAUUAGAUGACCGAGAAAUAGAACUACAAGCAAAAGCUACUUUAAUGAAUACAAAUAAGUGUAGACACAUCCAAAGCCCAUGAAAUCAAGAAGGUAUAUGAAGCUUCUAAGAAUAGGAGAACUAUCGUAGAAAAUCUGGCCAAAUGUCAAGCAAGUGGCUCUUCCGCACUGUUUUUAACAGUUUAUCAGAAAAACAAAAAGUAGAUUGACCCAAGGACAAGCAAGAAAAACCAUAUGGAAAACACUCAAUUUCUGAUGAAUCAGAAAACAAAUAAUGUCUACUAGACAAUGGAGACUCUGAAAUUAAAAUUUAAAACAAGGGGCAAAACUUAAGCCGGGUUAAAAAAGAAAUCUCCAGACUCCAGCUUACAAGUCUCUAAAGCACAAAUUCAGGAAGGCAGUGUGACGAUAGUUUUCGCAACUCUUCAGAUGAACUGGUGGAUUCAAACCAAAAGCGCAACUUCAUUACUCGAUCAAACAAAGUCAGUAACACAAGCAAUCACUUCCAAUAAAUCAAAUCAUGAACUGCUUCGGAACCAAUCCGUUCGGUUCCCAUUUCCCAACAACCAUGCAUCCAUCGAAUUACUCAAGACAUGGAAGAUAACACCACAAUUGUCUCAAGGUUUUUUUUCACUCUGUAACUCCAGAUCCAUAAAACGCAAAAAAGAAAGAAACGAAAAAAUAAAUCGCUCGUACAACCUCGCCGUCAUAACAGAAAAACAACCAUUAUUACGAAAAGAAAAAGACGAAGAGUAGUUAUUAUUCGUCUGCCAAACCAUUCAUCAUCAUAAACCGCGAGAAAUUAAGCAGUCGUAAAUCCGAGUCACCAACAUGGACCACGGUCGUCGAUCGCCAAAACACGUUCUCAAAUCGUAUUCGUACUGAUUGAUCCGGACAACGGACAAGAAAGAAGGAAACGAACGAACGAACGAAAAGCAACCGGAGUACAAGUUUCGGCAAACAGAGAUGGCGUUCUGCUGCAGAGCUGCUGCGCGCACAGCACAGGACAGCGCAGGCGCCUUUCGACGAACAGUUGAAACGCACGCAAAACCCAACAAAGCAACGGCGCCAGCAAUCGAGAACUAGCGCCGCAAAACAGGUAGUAAAAGCGAACGAAAAGAAGAAGCGAUUGACAUGCAUGCUCUCCGUGGAAAGAAAGAAACGGAGGAAGGAGAGGCAGGAACGAACCUUUGGAGGAUCAACGCGCGCCGUGGCUGCGGCAGGGAAGAGGAGGGGUUGGUGGUGCGUGGGAAGAAGGAGGCGGAGGAGAGUUGGUGGAUGGAAUGGAAAGAAGAAGAGAAGAAGAGAGGGAUCCGGGAUGAGAGGAAAGAAGAAGAAGAAGAAGAAAGAAAGGCUGCGGGGGGGCUUAAAUCCAUUCCGGUCCGAGACCGAGACCCAGAACCGACCUGUUGAAUCUUUCAGCCUACACUGUUGGACAAGUCAGCACCCCAAAGAGGGUUAUCACUUAUCAGUUGUUAGUUCAGUUUUGUUAGUUGGUCCUCUUUGUUGUUCUCAGUGUAAUUUUAUUUUUAUUUUUCUUCUGAGAAACCUUGAAAGACAUGAGCAAUUGCAAUUUUAUUAGGAAGAAGAGAAUGACUCAGGCUUAAAAAAUAAUCGGACCAGAAACUUUAUAGUCAUAUGUGCCAUGGAAUUUUCUAUAAGGGUAUAUGUCCCCCGAUUGGUGGCGGGGGAGACGCAGACGUAGCUGACUAACUAUGCCGAUAAGGUUGUGGAUUCACCGGAUCGGAUUUUUUUUUACCGUUGCUCGGAAGCGCGGGAAGCUCCCGAGGGGCGGGCAGGAGAAACGCGUAGUAAAUAGUGGGAGGGAAGUGGUUCGUUCACGACACGGUGGCUUGUCCUUCUGAAUUUGGGUUGUCGGUAAGUAGCGGGAUGGAUUGACGGUGCGGUUGCACGUGGCACAUCGACGGGUGCACUUAUCGAGUAAAUGUUGCCACAAUGCGUACAGUUUUUUUUUUGUUUUCUCUUAUUUUAGAAAAUUAUUAUUAUUAUACAUGCGUUUCUUUUUUUCUUUCUAUAUUUGUUUGCGGGGUUAAGUGGGUGUAGUGAGUGGUAAUGUCUUUCCUAAGAAAUGCUCCGAGGAGAUAUGCCACGUGAUUAAUCUCAUGACGUGGUGAGUAAAGUUUUGCCUUUCUAAACCAUGAUAAUUUUUAACCCAUUUUUUUGUGGCUCUGUUUAUUUUGGACGCUAAUUAAUGGGUGAAUAAUUCCUUUUUGUGUGCAAAAUCUGUGUUUCCUUUAUUUUGAGGUAAAAAUCAGUGUUUCCUUUUUUAAAAGGUAAAAGUCUGUGUUCACUUUGGGUAUGUACAUAGCUCCAAAAGAAAAUAGUUUUAAGAAAGAAAGAAAGAAAGGCUCAAAAGAAAAUGUGACCUGGAAAGGGAAAGAGAUGAGGUGGCUGGCUGUCCGUCCUUGUCAGCCGUUGGGCUAGCAAAUUAAUCAGCACAUUUAUUAUGAUCAAAUCAAGGCAAAGUAUGGUGAGAUCGAGUACACAAUGAGCCGCGUUUUUCGUCCAGCACGGACCCCCGGACCUUCUUUAAAAAUCAUUUGCUUUGAUUUGUUUUGUUUUCCCAGCAAAAGCCUACUAUUCCUCCUUAAUUCCUACUCCUUUUUUGUCACCUUGUUUCCUUGUUUGCAUCAUGGUGGGUCAGAGGAAAAGACCCCAUCCCUCCAUAUGAGAUAUUUUUAGUUACAUGGAUUCCUUUUCUUUAUUGCACAAAAUUCAUAAAGAUCUCCGAGCCGGAAAUAUAUCAAUUUUUCUUUUUGAAAAGGAAGGAUUUAAACGCGUCGAAUAUCGUCAUCUUGAGCCCGCAUUUCUCUCAAAGAUCUCUCUCUUGCUAAGAUCCUGAUAGUUUUUUUUUGGGGUAAAUUCAACUCUGGUACUCAAUUAGUAGGAAAGAUAUGGACCGAUUUGUUUGGUUAACCUGGUCAAAUUAUUUACAUGCAGCAGCCCCGAUCGAUCAAACUUGGCAUGCUUUUUUAGUUUAUCAGUUCUGUCACUGACGUAACAAACUUGUGCAUCAUGCAUAGAAACAGAGAAAUGCGAACUGAGCCUAAACUCAGGUGGUUGGUUUCUUGUGGUGGAACCAGCCCAUCUAGAUUCAAGUCUCCGAUUUGACGUGGGUGCUCACAUUUCUCUGGAUUUAUUCUAGGAAAAACCGGCGUUGUGUUUUCAAUGGGAGUGAUGUACCCGUCAACUACGAGACGCUUGUGGUGACUUCGUCAAUCUCAAGAUGAUGUGCCGGAUCAGUCUCUCGGAGGUGCUCAUAGGGGUAGACUGUGCGUGCGUGUGUUCAUAGGGGUGAGUGUGCGUGCGUACUUGUGAGUGUCUACGUCUGUAUUGUGUUUCCUAAAAAAAAACAGAGAAAUGAAAGGGAAGAAGAAUAAGCAUUGGUGGUAUUGAUGUAUCGACUUGUUCUUGGUCAAGAGCUGAUCUAUAUCACAAGAAAAUAAAUAAAAAGAGAAUCAUUAUGUAUACGUGAUAAGGAUAUCGAGAAAUGACCUUUCUUUUCUUCCCUUCCACAUGUUUAAAUAACUGCAUUCUUAUUUUCUACGCUAUCUAGAACAGUCGAUUUAUCUAUCUCGAACAAAUUUUGCAGGAGGCCAACAUAUUACUCCCACUGGUCCCAUAAUUUGUGGUUUUGGACAGAUGAUUAAAUCAAACUUUAUAGUUUUGACUAUGAACUUCUUGACAAAUCGUUAGAUUUAGAAACCUGAAUAAUCAUAUGUUCAAGUUCUUUUCAAGAAUUAUGUUCACAAUAUAUAUUUUUGGGGAAGAUGCUAUUCUUGGCAUUCUUUCUUAUAAGUUUGCAUUAGUAUACUACUACUGUUAGAGUUCGAGCAUCGCCAUAAUCUUGUCGAUGAUGUGGAGGAUAUAGAUAGAAAAGAAAAUGCAGUCUUUACUCUAGCAAUAAUUGCUUACGUGUUUUUGAGAGUGUCGGAGAGCCCUGUAUUAGAAAUUCAAAAUUGUUUUCGGUGAUGCCGAGGAUAGAGAUAGGCAAGAAAAAUAAAUGCUUAUUGGAGUGAGCAAUCUCCCGGGAAUGUUUAUUUUUUUAAUCUUAGUACCAAGUCUUAGUGACAUUAUAUUAGAACUGUCGUUCAUGUUAAUUAUUAGGAUAUUUUCUCUCUUCUCAAAGGAUGAGCAAAGUAAGGGAUCGCUGAGGAACCCUUCUAAUAUAUUAAAAAAAAAACUUUUUCCGUCCAACAAAGAAUGUCUCAAUUUUGACCAAAUUUAAAUGUAUGUAUGCACUAAAUCAUGUCUAGAUACAUCUAAAUUUUGACAAACUUGAGACAUCUUUUGUUGGACGGAGGAAGUAAUGAAAUUUAGAUAGCCCAUCUAGAGAGUUUAAAUCUACCAAAACGUUGACGCUGACUCCAUUCCAUGACAUACAUUAACGAAGCUAGAAGCCUAUACUAGUGAGUGCGAUCCACGGAGGACAAUUGGCAUGCUGCAAAAAUCUAAAGACGUGAAGUCAGCUCCAGGAACGAUGUCAUACUCUACUCUAAACGUCACAAGGUAUUCUUCUCAAAUCUCAACUGCCGCAUGAGAGUGACUAACCUGACAUUAUUUGCUUUUGCUGCAGCAUCUAGUAGGCUUAGCUGCUACUGCUACUACCAGGGCAUCUUUUGACUCAAAUUAUCUGGACUACUUGUAGGAGUACUACUAAUUAUAUCAGUUUAUCCAAAGAGAAAAAAACUACCACGGCAUCUUUUCAGCUUUUGAACAUCAAGGGAAAAAGAUAUUCCUUAGAAUUGCUGAGGAAAUUUAAGCGCAUAUUUGACGUCUCCAGUGCAGAUGCAUAAACAGGGAUCAUGCUUAUAGAAAUACUAUGCUAAUAUAAAAUUGGCUGGAUGAAAUCAGGUGUUUGUGUGUGUUUCUAUUUUGGUCAAACGGUGCAACGAAGACCGCCAAAGGCGUUUGGAUUCUGCUGGGAACAUUCCAGCUGACUCAAACGGCGACAACAAGACACCAUGUGAAAAUGAUGGUCAGCAAGAACUCGCCCGGUCUAAAUGGCAACACCACGCCACAGGGAAGUCUUAUGAAAAUGUCCACAUGCAUGCAUGAAAAUGUCAAUUGACCACCAUUUUUUUUUUUUGAGCAAGAAAUGUUGACUAUUGGCGAUGACAAAGCUCACAAGUGCAGCUGACUGGCACAGAACAGAAUAGCUGUGUUCAUCCAGGAACAGAAGAGUCUUUGGAAACCAAACAGGCUCUAUGCUUUGUAGUGCGCCAGUUGACUUGUUCUGAUGAGUUUGAAGAGGAUAUAACAGUGUCAAGACUGAACAUGUCACAUCUAAAAAAGAGUUGAACAUGUCAACCUUCUUCGACUCAGAUCGAUAUGAAGGUUUUCAGAAAAGUAGGAUGACAUAAGCAGGAUUGACAAGCAUUAAAAUCGCAUCAAGGUUGCCUUAUCUUCUGCUUGAGAAAUAUGUGAAACAAACAGGCUAAUGAAACUUCUAUGUAAAAUUAACAACCAAAAAAAGUACCAAUGCAUAACACCGUGACAUAAAUUAACCCAGAUAAAGGUUUCAAGAAUAGAGGAUAAAUCCAUCCUUUGGAUUAGACCUUUCGGAUAACAAACUGAGGGUUGACAACUGGUAGAUGGCACAAUUAGUAUAAAUGUCGUGAAAUGAACGACUUUUAACUUCCAACUGCUGAAACAGAAUAAAUAUGGAAUCCCCCAGAGGCCAGCUCAGCUCCAAGCACCACCUCUUCACAGGAAUGGAGGAAGAAUCACCCAUCGGCGAGGAUACUUGGGCCUCCCGUCCUUUCCAUCGAACAGCUGCAGAAGAAACAAUGUCAGUAAAGCUGUGCAGUUUUCACGGUAUUGUUCAGUAAUUCAGCAUGCAAAGAAGAGCUAGACUUGCCUUCCUCAGACGGCUGUGCUUUCCGAGCGCCCAGUUGGUCAUGAUAGCUGCUGCAACAGCGAGGAAGACAUAACCUGCCACAGUCUGCGUGGCAAUGUUGAACCCCAGCCAUUGGUAGAUCUCAGUGGUGUAGUUUGCACAGGUCACUAUGUUGAACAAGAAACCCCGUGGGAUCUGAUAACCACCACUGCCAGUUGGGCUCCUGAGGUUCCUCAGCAGGAUAUGACAGUAGAAGUUUGCGAUUUGGCACACGAUCCCAAACCCAAACCCAAUCUUCAUCUGCAGAUCACUCACAGGGGUGUAAAGCGGAUGGUUGCAGUAGUAAGCAAUGUAAGCUCCAAAGGUCCAGUAGUAGGCACAGUUCCUAAAGACAUUUGACACAGGAGAAGUCGCAUGGCUGAAUCGGUGGACAAAGAACGUCUCCAUGAUCCUCUUGAAGUAGUGGAAGCAAAAGUAGUACAUGGCGUAGGUCUGGACAGGAUGAAUGACCCGCUCUCCCUCAUAUCCAAAGUAUUUAUAAACGGGCAGAUAAUAGAAUAUGGGGUAGAUGAUAAGAGGACCCACGUAUUCCCAGAAGAACAGUGUGCUGUAAUAGACCUGUGGGCCUAAAUCUUUGAAGACUACUUUCAGGGAGCCAGAACCCUUCUCACAGUAUUCAGAUAGGCUGGACUUUGGACUGAGGACAACUGGUUUUCCAGAUUUUCCAGGUUGUAGAGGGAGGGUGAGCCGCUGCCUAGCAGGAUAAUACUUCUUAGCUGCAUGGAUUAGAUAUGAGUGAUUAGCAAUCCGUACAACAUAAAAGAAAACACGUGUUAUUCUUAGAGAAAGCAACGUAUAAAGAAAUGCAUGAUAAAAAAUGAGUGAGCUUUAUUCUGUACAAGUAAGAUCUAGUGUCAUCCUUGAAUAUUAGCAACUAAUUGUGCAAGCUCGAAACUGGAACAGCAAUAGUCUGCAUCUAGUAGAGCAAGCUACCUGAGGACAAUGUCCAAAAACUGUUGAGAAGGUGUAAUCCACAAGGACCAAUAUCAAAUCAGUUUCUGGAAAAAUUCCAGUAGGGGUCAGCUAUUUAUUAUUUGAUGUUCCUAACAUAUUUGACCAAUAUGAGGAGGUGGAUUGUCACUAUGGUUCACCGGAAAUAAUUGGAUUGAGCACCACGAUACUACCAGGGCCAUGUUAUUCGAUUCUGCUUCUCAAAAGCCCAGACUGGUGGCAUUUCAUCAUGCAUUUUAGACAGUACUGCUACCACAUGACCAUAUUGACUAAACCACAUGGCAGCAGAUCUGCUUUAGUGGUCCAACAUGAAAAAUAACUCUGUAUGGGCAUCACUUCAGGAUAACAUUAUGGCAAGUUAAUAAUCUAACAUGGCAAUAAAUACCAUAAAUACUUAAUAUAGGAUUAUUAAUCAGCACCGCAGCUAAAAUUUGAUGAUCUCAAGCAGUGAACUGUGGUUUGUUCGCUGACAGUGCUCCUCUGAUGUACUUAGCCAGUUAGAAAACAGAUUCUAGGUGCUGCCAUAAAUGGUGGCAUAAGCAGACAAGGGACAGGGUAAUUAGCUUCAGAUCUAAUGCUCAAAGAGGAUGAACACAUAAAGCAACAAAAGAAAAACGGGAAAAUGGGGUAACAGACACACCUAAAGAAAACUAGGUUGCUCAGAAACCACCAUACUUUCUCCAUCAGGCAAAGAUACAGAAGUAAAAAUCAUGAAACCGCAAGCAUGACCAACAGCAAAGCGCAAAGAUCAUACAGUAAAAAAAAUGAACACGGUAAAGAAAUUAGCUACCCUUCAAGUCAACCACAGAGUAAAAAAAUCAUUAUCAACAAUUAUGGCAUAAGCAUGCAGAAGACAGCCUUAGUGCAUAUUUAUGCAGAAGAGAGCCUUGUAGCAUAAUCAUUAUCAACACCUCUCGUAUUAAUUGUAACCAAUAUGGUUACUAUUUUGAAUCAUUAUGUAUCCUUCAAUAGUAUAUCCAUAAAUACUAGCUUGCCCCAGCAAGAAAGUUGGAAAGGAGACACUAUAUUUCACUGUGGUUGUUCAUGAGUGUUCUCUUGACAUGCAGUAAAAAAAUUAUGAAUCAUCCCCAAACAAAAUUCCAACUAAAGACCACUCACGUUUGUUUUCUGGUUAAGUGAGUUACCCUUCUCUAAUAUGUUAAAAAAAAAAGACACUCUUCAAGAGUGCGUGUUCGUGUUAAAAAAAAAGAAAGAGAGAGAGAGGCGCACACACAAAGCUUGUGAGGGAAUAGAUGUAGACCGCCAACUCCCUCCUACCAGCCUAAACAAACAAGAGGAUCCUAACAACCUUGAGCAACCAAAUUGACCCUGCUAGUUGGGGGGCAAGCAAGGUGACUGACUGAGCAACCAAUCGAAAUGGGCCAACAACUGACUAGACACUAGAGUCAUCGCACAAACACGUAGAUCGAGUUGUGCGUAGCAGUAGCACUAGGCAUGAGGACCUAGACACAAUAGGUACUCCACUUUUUCAUCUCAUGCUCUCUCAUAUCCACUUGUUCAAUAACGCUUUUACUUCAUUUAGUUUGAUUUGGUCUGAUUAAUGAAAGCAAUGUCCCUAGCAAACUCCAGAUUACCACACUGAUUAAGCACCAGGUUAAUUGGUAAUACCGUUCCCAGAUUUGAACACCUCUGAAGACGAGGGAGACGACAAAACUCAGAACCGAAACUCAAAUCUAGUACUACUUGAAAGGACUCUGAGCGAAGGAGGAACAGAUGAUCCGGGUUCGGCUGUACGUACUCUUGGCGUGGAUGGCCUCCUGCAGAUCCGCGACCUUGGCCUGCGAAAACAGAAACACAGUGGGCUCAGGCUCAGCGCAGCGCGAGGUGAAGCGCAUCAAAUCGAAGCUCGAAGGGGGCAUUCGACGCCGGCGAGAUCUUAAACCCCUCCCCCACCCAAGUAGCAGAAGCAAACCCUCGGCGAGGCGAGCAGAGAGUAGCAGGCAGGGGCACACGUACCGAGUCGGGGAGGUCGAUGCCGCCCCUGACGACCUCGCGGCCGCUGCGGGACACGACGGAGACCUUCAUGCUUCUUCCCCUCCCGGCGCUCCGCUCCUCUGCUGGUGGUGUUCCCGCAGCAGCAGGCAAAGGGUUGGAGGUAGAAGACGAA
rnacentral:lncRNA from 1 species